UGUAGUCUUCCUUCUUAGUCUGGGCUUUUUCCAGCGUUAAUUUCUGAAGCAGUUGUAUAGCAAAUUAGAAAUGUCUGCAAUAUUGUUGCUCCCAGCUUUCCUUACAAAGAACUUUCUCUACAAUGCGAAUCACGGUUUUUCUUUUUUUUUUUGUUAAUCAGAUGUAAAAAAUCUAGCAUUAAAUAGAAGGAUCUUACCCUAUAUGUUGCUGCUGAUAAGCUGCAGUUUCCUACUGUUUGAACCUGCUACAUGCAUUGUUAAAGGAACUUUUAACUUUCUUGUUCAAGAUGAUAUUCUCCAAGUCUGCAGUAUUAACUGGUGAAAUGGCAGGGAAAGAAGUUAGCAAACUCUGAUUUGCAACAAUAUAGCUUGAAAAUCUUGUGACCAUAUGGCUUAUGCAUCAAGGUAAGCCUACUCCAGGAAUUAACACUUACUAUGUAUGGCUUGAAGAACAAAAAGAAUGAUCAGAAUUCAGAAAUGAGAAAAUGAAGGGAAAGAGAACAAAUGGUUUUCUGGCUUCUUUCCUUGGUUCACAAACUCAGAAGAUAGGAAAUAGUCAUGGCAGACAUGACUUGAUAGAGAGUGGUACAUUAUCCCCACCGAGUGUAUGAUUAGUGAUGGGUGCAGUUUCAACUCAUAUUUAUUUGAACCACCCAACCCACACGUUAUAAACAUGAAUUCGACCUGCCCAUCUUUUUGUAUGGCAUAUUUCGUUUUCAACGUGCUCCUAAUAACAUUCGAUCCGUCCAUUUGUCACCACUAUUUCAGUAUGAAAUGUUU
rnacentral:lncRNA from 1 species